CUUAACUGUGGAAUUGCCUUUGAUACUGCAUAUCUUGAGUCUGGUUGAGGUAGGCGGAAUGUAGUAUGUAGCGGUGAAAUGCAUAGAUAUACUACAGAACACCCAUUGCGAAGGCAGCUUACCAAACCAGCACUGACACUCAGGCACGAAAGCGUGGGGAGCAAACAGGAUUAGAUACCCUGGUAGUCCACGCCGUAAACGUUGAUCACUCGUUGUUGGCAAUACACCAUCAGCGACUAAGCAAAAGCAUUAAGUGAUCCACCUGGGGAGUACGAUCGCAAGGUUGAAACUCAAAGGAAUUGACGGGGGCCCGCACAAGCGGAGGAGCAUGUGGUUUAAUUCGAUGAUACGCGAGGAACCUUACCCGGGCUUAAAUGUAGGGUGCAUUGGUGUGAAAACACCAUUUCCUUCGGGACUC
rnacentral:rRNA from 1 species